rnacentral:rRNA from 1 species
UAGGGAAUCUUCGGCAAUGGGGGGAACCCUGACCGAGCAACGCCGCGUGAGUGAAGAAGGUUUUCGGAUCGUAAAGCUCUGUUGUUAAGGAAGAACGAGUGUGAGAAUGGAAAGUUCAUACUGUGACGGUACUUAACCAGAAAGGGACGGCUAACUACGUGCCAGCAGCCGCGGUAAUACGUAGGUCCCGAGCGUUGUCCGGAUUUAUUGGGCGUAAAGCGAGCGCAGGCGGUCAAUUAAGUCUGAUGUGAAAGCCCCCGGCUCAACCGGGGAGGGUCAUUGGAAACUGGUUGACUUGAGUGCAGAAGAGGAGAGUGGAAUUCCAGGUGUAGCGGUGAAAUGCGUAGAUAUAUGGAGGAACACCAGUGGCGAAGGCGACUCUCUGGUCUGUAACUGACGCUGAGGCUCGAAAGCGUGGGUAGCAAACAGG